rnacentral:rRNA from 1 species
CGGCGUGCCUAAUACAUGCAAGUCGAACGAACUCUGGUAUUGAUUGGUGCUUGCAUCAUGAUUUACAUUUGAGUGAGUGGCGAACUGGUGAGUAACACGUGGGAAACCUGCCCAGAAGCGGGGGAUAACACCUGGAAACAGAUGCUAAUACCGCAUAACAACUUGGACCGCAUGGUCCGAGUUUGAAAGAUGGCUUCGGCUAUCACUUUUGGAUGGUCCCGCGGCGUAUUAGCUAGAUGGUGGGGUAACGGCUCACCAUGGCAAUGAUACGUAGCCGACCUGAGAGGGUAAUCGGCCACAUUGGGACUGAGACACGGCCCAAACUCCUACGGGAGGCAGCAGUAGGGAAUCUUCCACAAUGGACGAAAGUCUGAUGGAGCAACGCCGCGUGAGUGAAGAAGGGUUUCGGCUCGUAAAACUCUGUUGUUAAAGAAGAACAUAUCUGAGAGUAACUGUUCAGGUAUUGACGGUAUUUAACCAGAAAGCCACGGCUAACUACGUGCCAGCAGCCGCGGUAAUACGUAGGUGGCAAGCGUUGUCCGGAUUUAUUGGGCGUAAAGCGAGCGCAGGCGGUUUUUUAAGUCUGAUGUGAAAGCCUUCGGCUCAACCGAAGAAGUGCAUCGGAAACUGGGAAACUUGAGUGCAGAAGAGGACAGUGGAACUCCAUGUGUAGCGGUGAAAUGCGUAGAUAUAUGGAAGAACACCAGUGGCGAAGGCGGCUGUCUGGUCUGUAACUGACGCUGAGGCUCGAAAGUAUGGGUAGCAAACAGGAUUAGAUACCCUGGUAGUCCAUACCGUAAACGAUGAAUGCUAAGUGUUGGAGGGUUUCCGCCCUUCAGUGCUGCAGCUAACGCAUUAAGCAUUCCGCCUGGGGAGUACGGCCGCAAGGCUGAAACUCAAAGGAAUUGACGGGGGCCCGCACAAGCGGUGGAGCAUGUGGUUUAAUUCGAAGCUACGCGAAGAACCUUACCAGGUCUUGACAUACUAUGCAAAUCUAAGAGAUUAGACGUUCCCUUCGGGGACAUGGAUACAGGUGGUGCAUGGUUGUCGUCAGCUCGUGUCGUGAGAUGUUGGGUUAAGUCCCGCAACGAGCGCAACCCUUAUUAUCAGUUGCCAGCAUUAAGUUGGGCACUCUGGUGAGACUGCCGGUGACAAACCGGAGGAAGGUGGGGAUGACGUCAAAUCAUCAUGCCCCUUAUGACCUGGGCUACACACGUGCUACAAUGGAUGGUACAACGAGUUGCGAACUCGCGAGAGUAAGCUAAUCUCUUAAAGCCAUUCUCAGUUCGGAUUGUAGGCUGCAACUCGCCUACAUGAAGUCGGAAUCGCUAGUAAUCGCGGAUCAGCAUGCCGCGGUGAAUACGUUCCCGGGCCUUGUACACACCGCCCGUCACACCAUGAGAGUUUGUAACACCCAAAGUCGGUGGGGUAACCUUUUAGGAACCAGCCGCCUAAGGUGGGACAGAUGAUUAGGGUGAAGUCGUAACAAGGGG